CACUCAGCUUUUUUUUUUUUAUUUUUCAGAAAGGAGACCCCCAGGGGCAAGUCUGGGGAGUGUGGGGAUCCCGAGAAGAUGCCACUGGACUUUGGCCACGAACAACAGACGAACGGGAUUUUCCCCAGGACUCCUCUUUCUGAUAGGGUGUGGGAAAGCGUUCGAGAUAGAGAGAGCAGCGGGACCCAACGUGGUGUCAACGAGCACCAUAUGCUUGGGAAGUGAUGGGCGCUCAACGCCCAAAGGUGACCGAGGAAGCAGGUGGUUAAAGCUGUACGUGGAGGUUGAUGCUAAAGGCCAUGGCAGGGAGGUGAACUUGAUUCACUGAUGGGAGCCUCCAAUGUUUUUUAAGCGAAGGUACCAUGCAGUUGGGUGUGUUUUAGGGUCAUCACUCUGAGCAUGGUGGCCAUGGAGGAGCAAGCACAUAGGACAAUAGAGGACUACAUGGGAAGGAUUAACUGGGCAGUUGUGGUGAGAAUGGAAAGAAGGGAAUUAUUAAAGAGACGAUCCUAAGGUGGAAUGGCAGGAUGCUGGGGAUGAGGAGGGUGGAAGGCAUCUAGCUUCAAGCUUUGGUGACUAUACAGAUGUCUUUAACCAAACUGUGGGCUACAAGGGGGAGGAGUGCUUGGGCUCACAUUUGGACUUGCUGAGUUUCCAUGUUUAUGGGUCAUAUAAGGAUACUGCCCAAACCCGGGCCUGCCUUGGGGAAUAUUCAUCUCAUUAGAGUUAAAUCACUUUUCCCUGUCUGCAUGUCUCCUCCCCACACGAAUGUAACCUCCCAGAGGGAAAGAUUGAAGGCAAGAGGAGAAAGGGACGACAGAGGAUGAAAUGGCUGGAUGGCACCACCAACUCGAUGGACAUGAGUUUUGAGGACGCUCUGGGAGUUGGUGAUGGACAGGGAGGCCUGGCGUGCUGCUGUCCAUGGGGUCACCAAGAGUAGGACACGACUGAGCGAAUGGACUGAGAGGGAAGCCGCUCUCCUUUAUCUCGUAUCUCCUGUGCCCCUGGAGAGGGUGCAGCUGGCUUUGCUGCAUCAGUGGUUGUCUAGUUCUCUAGGAACUAAUGCAAUCCACGGCUGGUGCAAGAGAAUUACAACUUGGAACCUGACUUUGUGA
ensembl:lncRNA